rnacentral:rRNA from 1 species
UACGUAGGGGGCAAGCGUUGUCCGGAUUUAUUGGGCGUAAAGCGCUCGCAGGCGGCUCGAUGCGUCGUGCGUGAGACACCCCGGCUCAACUGGGGAGGGUCGUGCGAUACGGUCGGGCUGGAGGCCAGUAGGGGGAUGCGGAAUUCCGGGUGUAGUGGUGGAAUGCGUAGAGAUCCGGAGGAACACCAGCGGCGAAGGCGGCAUCCUGGACUGGUCCUGACGCUCAGGAGCGAAAGCGUGGGGAGCGAUCCGG